GACGAACCGUGCGAACGUUGUUCGGAUUCACUGGGCUUAAAGAGCUCGUAGGCGGUUUGUCGCGUCGUCCGUGAAAACUCACAGCUUAACUGUGAGCUUGCGGUCGAUACGGGCAGGCUAGAGUUCGGUAGGGGAGACUGGAAUUCCUGGUGUAGCGGUGAAAUGCGCAGAUAUCAGGAGGAACACCGGUGGCGAAGGCGGGUCUCUGGGCCGAUACUGACGCUGAGGAGCGAAAGCGUGGGGAGCGAACAGG
rnacentral:rRNA from 1 species